AAAAUCUGUGAGGUCAAAUUUCCCCACUUAGAAGCAUAGAAACCAUUUCUGUGCAGUUCUUUCAGUAAUAGCGCCCUCUCUGUACACAGCACAAAACCUUGAUUGAAAGUGAAGAGAAGUAGGUGUUGAAAACCUUCAAGUUUUUCUACUUGGCACUCCAUUGUUAUAUGU